rnacentral:lncRNA from 1 species
GAAAUAGACAUAGCAAUAGUACCAUUUUGCUAGGGCUUAGUAAACAAAGGCAUAUCAUGAAAUUGUAUGUUAAUUAAAUAAGUAGACAUUUUUCUUUUACAUAUUUUUCCAUAAGACACUGACAGGGAUAAACUGACCAGAAAUGUCAUUCUUACUUGAAAUAUGCUUUUAUUUGCCAUAAGUUCCUAGGUAUAAGGCUAUACCAAUUGAAGGAGGAGUGUGCUUUACAGCUUUUUUUUUUUUUUUUUUUUUUUUUUAGGAUGGUGCUGGGGCAGAUGGAGUGAGAGUGACUUUCAAGCUCACUUAAAUAUGGGAGUUCUUAUAUGUCUGACAAACUCUUGAUGUCCUGAGUGCAAAAUAUCUAGGGAGAAAAGAGAGUAUAUGUCCCUCAUGAGAAUAUUUCUUCAGCAUCAAAAUUGAGUAACGUUUACUUCCUGGCAACAGAAUUUUAUGUCCCAGACAACAGAAGCAUUUAGUCCUCUGAGAGUCUCCAUCCAGAAGCUGACUGAGAGAGAUGCAGAUACCCACAGCCAAACAGUGGACAGAGCUUGGGGACUCUUAUGGAAGAAUAGGAGGAAGAAUUGCUGGCCCUGAAGGAGAUAACUCCAUAGGAAGACCAACAGAGUCAGCUAACCUGGACCCUUCGGGCUUACAGAGACUGCCAUCAACAAAAGAACAUAGAUGGGCUGGACCUAGGCCUCUAUGCUCAUAUAUAGCAGAUGUUUAGCUUGGUCUUCAUGUGAGUCCUAAACAACUGAAACAGGGGCUAUUCCUAAAGCUGUUGCCUGUCUGUGGGAUAUGUUCGGCUAGGUGGGCUGCCUUGUCAGGCCUCAGUGGGAGACGAAGCUCCUAACCUCAGGGAGACUUGAAGUACCUAGGUGAGGGGAAUAUACUCAGGAGGGGACCCUGCCCACUCAAAGGAGAAAGGAAGUGUGAUGUGGGAGGGGUUGUGGGAGGGGAUUCCUGGGAUACAAGUCAG